GGAAACACAUCCCCAGGAAUCACAAACUUGGAUUAUUUUCUUUUAAUUCUUCCAAGUCUACAAUUUUUGCUGUGAGGCAGCAGGGGGAAAAAUGGGAAGGCGACAAAUCAACCUUGAGAAUGUCAGUGGUGUCAGGACACAAGAAGGAACAGAACAAUACCACUCAUCAUUUCCCAAAGCACACUGAAGUGUGGCCUGUAAAAAGUAGUUGACCCUAAAAUCUGCCUUUUCUCUCACUGAAGCAAAUAAAAGUGACCCCAUUCUCCAGGCACACAGGCAGCAAAGGCCUUGCGUCUGUACAUUCCUGCUCUGCCCAUCCAUCUUACAGACGCUGCAUGAAUCCACCACGGAAAAUAACGAACAACAGCAGCACCAUUCCCCUUGGAACCCCCGGUGCCAACUGAGCCUUUUUACAUUUCGACAUCAACAGCCGCAGCUCUGCCACGGAGCGCCUCCUCAGGAACGGAGCCGCGGGGCGCAGGGCACAGGGCGCAGGGACCUACCUGUCGCUGCUGGUGCUGCUGCUGCUGCUGAGGGAGUCGCUGCUGGAGGAGCGGCUGCGGGAGCCGCUGCCGCUGGGCGAGCGGGCGGGCCGGGCGGCCUGGCUGGCCAGGCGCUGCGGGGACUGCGUCCUGGACUGCGACGAGUGCGGCGAGCGGCUCCGGCUGUGCUGGUAGUUCCGCUCCGGCCUUCUGCCUCGUACCUCCCGUGUAAUGUCGUCCCUGUAGAUAUCCCUGUGUACCACGCUGGGCAAUGUAAACUGCUCCCGGGCCCUAGGUUCGUAUCGGGGGUCGUGAGCGUCAAAGCGGUUUGGGCUUCGGCUCCGGGAAGUGUAAUAGAGCCCGUGUUGUAAGGUCCGCUCCCGAGGGUCUCUAUAGUAAUCCUGAUCGUAAUGUCUCGUCCGAUCAAAUCCGCCCGUUCCCCGCUCAUGGUGUCCAUAGGCACUAUGUUCAUAAGCACGCUCCCUGUUAUCUGAAGCCCUGCGUUUGGGAAGGGGGAAAAAUAUUGCAUCAGAAAGGGGCAGGCACAGCUAAAAGCAAAUCAUGCAAACAUUCACGGCAACACUCGACUUAUUGCUGCGACUGCUUCUCCGCUAACCAGCAAUAACCUAUCAAGCAAACAAUGACAAACUUCAAAACGUU
rnacentral:lncRNA from 12 species